GGUCAAGCUACUAAGGGCAGAUGGAGGAUGCCUUGGCGUCAGAAGGCGAUGAAGGACGUGGCAAGCUGCGAAAAGCUCCGGAUAGCUGCAAACAAGCUUUGACCCGGAGAUUUCCGAAUGGGGCAACCCGGCGGGGGUCAUACCCCGUCAUCACCCAGAUGAAUAUAUAGUUUGGGUGAGGCGAACGGAGGGAACUGAAACAUCUAAGUACCUCCAGGAAGAGAAAGAAAUCUCGAUUUCCUGAGUAGCGGCGAGCGAAAGGGAAAGAGCCUAAACCGUCGUCAUGUUAAAGCCCGUGUGCGUUGUGCCGGCGGGGUUGUGAGACUAGUUGUGUUGGGGACGCGGAUCCGACAAGGAGUUAUAAACUACUUUUCUAAUCGAAAGACCUGGAAAGGUCUCCCAAAGAAGGUGAUAGGCCUGUAGGUGAAAGAAAAGUAGCUCCUUAAUUAGUUCUCGAGUAGCACGGGACACGUGGAACCCUGUGUGAAUCUGGGAGGACCACCUCCCAAGGCUAAAUACUCUCUGACGACCGAUAGUGAACCAGUACCGUGAGGGAAAGGUGAAAAGCACCCCUGGCGGGGAGUGAAAAGUACCUGAAACCAUCUGCCUACAAGCUGUCGGAGGCUGAACUGGAUCUUCGGAUCCGGGAAUGCUGACGGCGUGCCUUUUGCAUAAUGAGCCGGCGAGUUACUGAGUGCGGCAAGGUUAAGUGUCUAAGACACGGAGCCGAAGCGAAAGCGAGUCCUAAUAGGGCGUUGAGUCGUAUUUAGUAGACCCGAAGCCGAGUGAUCUACCCAUGGCCAGGAUGAAGCGCGUGUAAAAACGCGUGGAGGUCCGAACCCACUAACGUUGAAAAGUUAGGGGAUGAGCUGUGGGUAGGGGCGAAAGACCAAUCAAACUCGGAGAUAGCUGGUUCUCCCCGAAAUGUCUUUAGGGGCAGCCUCGCGUAAAUUUGUGGCGGAGGUAGAGCACUGAUUGGGUUAGGGGCCCCACCAGGUUACCGACCCCAGUCAAACUCCGAAUGCCGCUCACAUGUAUCGCGGGAGUGAGGCCACGAGGGAUAAGCUCCGUGGCCGAGAGGGAAACAACCCAGAUCAUCAGUUAAGGCCCCAAAAUCCAGGCUAAGUGUAUCAAAGGAUGUGGAAUUGCCUAAACAGCUAGGAUGUUGGCUUAGAAGCAGCCAUCAUUUAAAGAGUGCGUAACUGCUCACUAGUCAAGUGAUUCCGCGCCGAUAAUUUGCGGGGCUCAAGCCUGGUGCCGAAACUGUGGACUCUAGAUACCCUGCGGGGGAUCUGGAUUGGUAGGGGAGCGUUCUGGCGUAGGCUGAAGUCGGUUCGAUAAGAACCGGUGGACGAACCAGAAGUGAGAAUGCCGGCACGAGUAGCGAUAAAACGGGUGAGAAACCCGUUCACCGUAAACCUAAGGUUUCCUGAGGAAGGUUAAUCCGCUCAGGGUUAGUCGGCCCCUUAGCCGAGGCCAAAAGGCGUAGGCGAUGGGAAACAGGUUAAUAUUCCUGUACCACUUUGCAGGUGUUUGAGCUAUGGGGUGACGCAGAAGUGAAAGGCCAGCCGGCGAUUGGAAGUGCCGGUCUAAGCCAGUAGGGUGGUUGUCUAGGUAAAUCCGGACAGCCGCGGUUUAAUCCGCAGCCUGAGAGGUUAUGGGGAGUCCAUUAGGACAUAAACUGGCCCUAAUCAUGCUGCCAAGAAAACCCUCUAUGUGAAUCUGUAGGGUGACCGUACCGUAAACCGACACAGGUAGGUGGGGUGAGUAUCCUAAGGUGCUCGAGUGAUUCCUCGGGAAGGAACUCGGCAAAAUUAUCCCGUAACUUCGGAAUAAGGGAUGCCCCUGAAGUGAAACCCCUCGCGGGUGGAGCGGAGGGGGCCGCAGUGAAGAGGCCCAAGCGACUGUUUACUAAAAACACAGGACUCUGCCAAGCCGAUGAGGCGAUGUAUAGGGUCUGACACCUGCCCGGUGCCGGAAGGUUAAGGGGAGGGGUUAGCCGCAAGGCGAAGCUCUGAACCGAAGCCCCGGUAAACGGCGGCCGUAACUAUAACGGUCCUAAGGUAGCGAAAUUCCUUGUCGGGUAAGUUCCGACCUGCACGAAUGGUGUAACGAUUUGGGCGCUGUCUCCUGGAAGAGCUCGGCGAAAUUGAAGCAGCGGUGAAGAUACCGUUUACCCGCGGAAAGACGGAAAGACCCCGGCACCUUUACUACAGCUUGAUAUUGAAUUUUGGAAUAGCAUGUGUAGGAUAGGUGGGAGGCUUUGAAGU
rnacentral:rRNA from 1 species